rnacentral:lncRNA from 1 species
UCCAGCAUACAGCCCUACAUCUCCCGCAUAUAGCCCCACAUCACCAUCUUACAGUCCAACUUCGCCAUCUUAUAGCCCUACAUCACCAUCAUACAGCCCAACAUCCCCCUCAUACAGCCCUACCUCCCCCUCAUACAGCCCUACCUCCCCCUCAUACAGCCCUACCUCCCCCUCGUACAGCCCAACAUCACCUGCAUACAGCCCUACUUCGCCAGGAUACAGCCCAACAUCACCGAGCUACAGUCCUACUUCUCCGAGCUACAGUCCUACUUCUCCGAGCUACAAUCCUUCAUCAGCCAAGUACAGCCCUUCGCAUGCAUACUCUCCAAGCAGCCCCCGGAUGACUCCAUAUAGUCAGAC